AUUGAACGCUGGCGGCAGGCCUAACACAUGCAAGUCGAACGGUAACAGGAAGAAGCUUGCUUCUUUGCUGACGAGUGGCGGACGGGUGUGUAAUGUCUGUGACACUGCCUGAUGGAGGGGGAUAACUACUGGAAACGGUAGCUAAUACCGCAUAACUUCGCAAGACCAAAGAGGGAGACCUUCGGGCCUCUUGCCAUCGGCUGUGCCCAGAUGGGAUUAGCUAGUAGGUGGGGUAACGGCUCACCGAGGCGACGAUCCCUAGCUGGUCUGAGAGGGUGACCAGCCACACUGGAACUGAGACACGGUCCAGACUCCUGCGGGAGGCAGCAGUGGGGAAUAUUGCACAAUGGGCGAAAGCCUGAUGCAGCAAUGCCGCGUGUAUGAAGAAGGCCUUCGGGUUGUAAAGCUCUGUCAGCAGGGAAGAAGGAAGGAGUAUGAAUCCCUGUACUUAUUGACGUUACCUGAAGAAGAAGCACCGGCUAACUACGUG
rnacentral:rRNA from 1 species